rnacentral:rRNA from 1 species
UCCCCUAGUAACUGCGAGUGAAGCGGGAAAAGCUCAAAUUUAAAAUCUGGUGGNNNNNGGCUACCCGAGUUGUAAUCUAGAGAAGCGUUAUCCGCGNUGGACCGUGUACAAGUCUCCUGGAAUGGAGCGUCAUAGAGGGUGAGAAUCCCGUCUUUGACACGGACUACCAGGGCUCUGUGAUACGCUCUCAAAGAGUCGAGUUGUUUGGGAAUGCAGCUCUAAAUGGGUGGUAAGUUCCAUCUAAAGCUAAAUAUUGGCGAGAGACCGAUAGCGAACAAGUACCGUGAGGGAAAGAUGAAAAGAACUUUGGAAAGAGAGUUAAACAGUACGUGAAAUUGUUGAAAGGGAAACGCUUAAAGUCAGUCGCAUUGGCUAGGGAUCAACCUUGCUUUUGCUUGGUGCACUUCCUGGUUAAUGGGUCAGCAUCAAUUUCGACCAAUGGAAAAAGGUCAAGGGAAUGUGGCAUCUCCGGAUGUGUUAUAGCCCUUGGUUGUAUACAUUGGUCGGGAUUGAGGAACUCAGCACGCCGCAAGGCCGGGUUUUACCACGUUCGUGCUUAGGAUGCUGGCAUAAUGGCUUUAAUCGACCCGUCUUGAAACACGGACCAAGGAGUCUAACAUACCUGCGAGUGUUUGGGUGGAAAACCCGAGCGCGUAAUGAAAGUGAAAGUUGGGAUCCCUGUCGUGGGGAGCACCGACGCCCGGACCAGACCUUCUGUGACGGAUCCGCGGUAGAGCAUGUAUGUUGGGACCCGAAAGAUGGUGAACUAUGCCUGAAUAGGGUGAAGCCAGAGGAAACUCUGGUGGAGGCUCGUANCGAUUCUGACNUGCAAUCNAUCGUCNAAUUUGGGUAUAGGGGCGAAAGACUAAUC